rnacentral:lncRNA from 8 species
AUGACUGGGAGAACUUAUUCAAGUUUUCUGUCCUCAGAUAAAGAGAGCUAUGAAAGCCUGUCUACAGAUGAAGAGGUCCCAAUGAAGAGCAGUGGUUCUCAGUCCUGGGGACUCAAAGGGAUUCCUUGUAACUGGAGAUUCUUUCAAAACGAUUGGCUACAGUUACUGUGUAGGGCACUGCAAGGUUGGGUGACCAGGGCCAUCUGGGACUGCCUCCUGGAGGAAUUCAGGCGUGUGAAGGCUACUUGUGUCCUGUAUAACUUCAUGAGGAUGGACAUGAGGAACAGGAUGGGAUCUGCAGCUCGCCGCUGUGUGCCAGAGGAGAAAGUCUGGUGCUCAGCAGGAUGUGUCAAGGAUGGGGUCCAACAACACAGCAAGAGAGGCAAUCUGUGUGAGGGUGCUGUUUAG